GAUGAACGCUGGCGGCGUGCCUAAUACAUGCCAGUCGAGCGAACAGACGAGGAGCUUGCUCCUCUGACGUUAGCGGCGGACGGGUGAGUAACACGUGGAUAACCUACCUAUAAGACUGGGAUAACUUCGGGAAACCGGAGCUAAUACCGGAUAAUAUAUUGAACCGCAUGGUUCAAUAGUGAAAGACGGUUUUGCUGUCACUUAUAGAUGGAUCCGCGCCGCAUUAGCUAGUUGGUAAGGUAACGGCUUACCAAGGCAACGAUGCGUAGCCGACCUGCGAGGGUGAUCGGCCGCACUGGAGCUGGGCCACGGUCCUGACUCCUACGGGAGGCAGCAGUAGGGAAUCUUCCGCAAUGGGCGAAAGCAUGACGGAGCAGCCCCGCGUGAAUGAUGAAGGUCUUCGGUUCGUCAAACUCUGUUAUUAGGUAAGAACAACUGUGUACGUACCUAUGCACGUCUUGACGGUACCUAAUCAGAAAGCCACGGCUAACUACGUG
rnacentral:rRNA from 1 species